UGCAGCCUUGUCAAAUUCGGUGCACCCUCCACAGUGGGUUGCACUGGCCAAAAUGGCUGCUACAGUGACAUAGUAGUUCAUGGGCCCCACAUUGUCUCAUGAAUGCUGGGGAUAAAUUUGUGCUACAGACAAUC